AAGUGGACACUCAUCCUUUUUACUUAGAGUUAAUGUCAAGUCUAUAUAGUACAGUACCUACAUUGUCUCCUGGAGAGCAAAAUUGAUAAACAUGAUUUUAAAUCUAGGACUCUUUUUCCAGACCUGUGAAUGAAGACUCAGAGCCCUCGGAGGCCAAUGGUUCUGGCAGGUCUCAUGGCAUCUACGUGAACAGAUGGUCUCCAACACCUUCUGAGUCAGCGAGCACCAUUACAGCAAGUCAUUUUACUUGGGGUACCCAGACAUUCCAAUGACCUUGUGAAAGGAGAUGAGGGAAUCUGAAGAGGAAGUUAUGUUUAACAGGAUAAUAAAUAUAUCUACUGAAGCCUCUUCUUUAUGGAAAACAUACACGCUUUUCCAAUUUCUGGGAUCUUGAAUCUAGAAGGCCAUCGUGACACUAACUGCUGGAAGCAAGGUGGAAACAGUUGGCACAAUGGGAUGCCCACAGGUUUUGGACUCAAAUCUGUAGUACAAAUUCCAGUUGUACAAUUUACAAGCUAAGAUGAAUCUGAUGUCCACACAAGUCAGUUGCCCAAAUUCACAUCACUGACUCCACCGAAAACCAUUAUAGACUUGAGCAAGACAGUGGCAGAGUGAAGAUGCAAAUUCACCUCUUUCUUGUACUCUCAGCAGAGCAAGAGAACGUAGCCUGUCUUGAACAUGUAGAACCAGGAAAACAGCUGUGAUCUGUGUGGAAGCAGCGGAUAGUUUUAAGAAAAGGAAAACUGAAACUGCUUCCACCCCUCCUGAAAGUCAUUGCUAAAGAAUUUUCAUUUCUGCGGUCCUGAGAACCAGAGAAAUAUGAAUUCAAAUUAUCUUCAGGGAUUCAUACUUCUUCCAUGCACCCCAUGCAUCUGCAUGAACAGUGGCUCUGCUCAGGACUCUCUGUCUUGCCAGUGAUUAAUUCAGGAACAUGAUCCUACUAUGAAUGGAAGUGAUGAUGAUCAUAUUUUGAGCUCAUUCUGCUAUGUCCUGCCCCAUGCUCCUGUGUCCAUGACCUGUCUCUUUGUUGAAUAACUGCAAGAUGCUCCAAGAACU